CCUACGGGAGGCAGCAGUGGGGAAUAUUGGACAAUGGGCGAAAGCCUGAUCCAGCAAUGCCGCGUGAGUGAUGAAGGCCUUAGGGUUGUAAAGCUCUUUUACCAGGGAUGAUAAUGACAGUACCUGGAGAAUAAGCUCCGGCUAACUCCGUGCCAGCAGCCGCGGUAAUACGGAGGGAGCUAGCGUUGUUCGGAAUUACUGGGCGUAAAGCGUACGUAGGCGGUUAUUCAAGUCAGAGGUGAAAGCCUGGAGCUCAACUCCAGAACUGCCUUUGAAACUAGAUAGCUAGAAUCUUGGAGAGGUGAGUGGAAUUCCGAGUGUAGAGGUGAAAUUCGUAGAUAUUCGGAAGAACACCAGUGGCGAAGGCGACUCACUGGACAAGUAUUGACGCUGAGGUACGAAAGCGUGGGGAGCAAACAGGAUUAGAUACCCUGGUAGUCCACGCCGUAAACGAUGAUAACUAGCUGUUCGGGCUCUACGAGCUUGUAGUGGCGCAGCUACGACAUUAAGUUAGUCCGUCCGUCGGGAGGUACGGUCGGCGAGAAGUUAAACGUUAAAGUUAGUUAAGUUAGUACGGUUCGUUGAGACGUUGCCGACGGACGACGACGAGGGAGGAGG
rnacentral:rRNA from 1 species